CCAGUUGCUCCAUGUCUUCACCGUCAUUUUACUCUGCACUUUUCAUUUACAUGUCUUUAUGACUAGUGAUACUGGACAUCUUUUCAUGUACUUAUUUGCCGUCUAUAUAUCUUCUUUUUCUUUUUCUUGGUACUGAAGAUUGAACCUACGGGCUUUUGCUCUAAGGCAUGUUGUAACAGAAUGGAGCAGCUCAGUGCCACAGCCAAGUGUUAAGCUCAGAGGCACAGCUGAGUGUUGGAGCUCAGUGUUGCAGGGUAAAGGGACAGUUACAGCAUGCAUUAACGUUGUUGUGUACUGGAUACUUUUCCACCCAAUCCUCCUCCUUACAGAAGCAGCCAAGGAUCCUAUUACAGUAGCAGUAAUCUCUACUAGGCAAAGCAUUAGUGCUUCUGGCCAUCAUGUCAUUUAUGGAGCUUUACUGACUGAAGGAGAACCUCAAUUCCAAUGGCUUUACAGAUAUAAACUGGAGCAAGAUUUUUAACUCCCUUAAGCUACUGAUUCCCAAUUUGUAAAAUGGGGAUAUAAUAG
rnacentral:lncRNA from 1 species